rnacentral:rRNA from 1 species
UCUGGGACAAGCCCUGGAAACGGGGUCUAAUACCGGAUACCACCUUCACUGGCAUCUGUGAAGGUUGAAAGCUCCGGCGGUGAAGGAUGAGCCCGCGGCCUAUCAGCUUGUUGGUGAGGUAAUGGCUCACCAAGGCGACGACGGGUAGCCGGCCUGAGAGGGCGACCGGCCACACUGGGACUGAGACACGGCCCAGACUCCUACGGGAGGCAGCAGUGGGGAAUAUUGCACAAUGGGCGAAAGCCUGAUGCAGCGACGCCGCGUGAGGGAUGACGGCCUUCGGGUUGUAAACCUCUUUCAGCAGGGAAGAAGCGAAAGUGACGGUACCUGCAGAAGAAGCGCCGGCUAACUACGUGCCAGCAGCCGCGGUAAUACGUAGGGCGCAAGCGUUGUCCGGAAUUAUUGGGCGUAAAGAGCUCGUAGGCGGCUUGUCACGUCGGGUGUGAAAGCCCGGGGCUUAACCCCGGGUCUGCAUUCGAUACGGGCUAGCUAGAGUGUGGUAGGGGAGAUCGGAAUUCCUGGUGUAGCGGUGAAAUGCGCAGAUAUCAGGAGGAACACCGGUGGCGAAGGCGGAUCUCUGGGCCAUUACUGACGCUGAGGAGCGAAAGCGUGGGGAGCGAACAGGAUUAGAUACCCUGGUAGUCCACGCCGUAAACGGUGGGAACUAGGUGUUGGCGACAUUCCACGUCGUCGGUGCCGCAGCUAACGCAUUAAGUUCCCCGCCUGG